rnacentral:rRNA from 1 species
UACAGAGGUGCUCAAGCGUUGUUCGGAUUCAUUGGGCGUAAAGGGUGCGUAGGCGGCGCGGUAAGUCGGGUGUGAAAUCUGGAGCUUAACUCCGAAACUGCAUUCGAUACUGCCGUGCUUGAGGACUGGAGAGGAGACUGGAAUUUACGGUGUAGCGGUGAAAUGCGCAGAUAUCAGGAGGAACACCGGUGGCGAAGGCGGAUCUCUGGGCCAUUACUGACGCUGAGGAGCGAAAGCGUGGGGAGCGAACAGG